rnacentral:lncRNA from 1 species
UUGGCGAGAAAGGGCGGGGAGCGAGCGGUGUGGGUGUGCUCGUGCCCGCGCGCUCGCGCCUGGAGUGUGGGUGGGGGCUCGUGCGUGCACGCGCAGGGGAGAGGCUAGUGUGGGCCGCCGUUGUCGGGUUCGACUGGAGAGGCGGGGGAGUCACCUGCGAGCGGCUGCGCUCGCCGCCGGUUGCGUCCGGAUCGCGCCGACUGCGCGGGGCCGCGGGCCGCUCACACCCUGGGAGGCCGGGGCAGGGGAGCUUGGCAGAGACCGAUCCCGGCGCCCGGGACGGGGAGUCGUACUCUUGUUGCUGCUGCCGCCGCCGCCGCCCGCGUCCCACCGGGAAAAUCCAACGAUCAGAGCUGGACUGAAGAUACAGCCCUCAAAACACCGAAGUAAAUGCUCAUAGCUCUGGCCCAUUGUGUGAUAACAGGGGAAUCAGACUGACUGCACCAACUUCUAAGGAAAAGCUCUUCUGAAUU